UUUUUUUCGUUUUUUU
rnacentral:sRNA from 1 species